UACAGAGGUGGCAAGCGUUGUUCGGAAUUACUGGGCGUAAAGGGCGCGUAGGCGGUUCGGUAAGUCCUGUGUGAAAUCCCUCGGCUCAACUGAGGAACUGCACGGGAGACUGCCGGGCUUGAGUUCGGGAGAGGGAAGCGGAAUUCCGGGUGUAGCGGUGAAAUGACGUAGAUAUCCGGAGGAACACCGGUGGCGAAGGCGGCUUCCUGGACCGACACUGACGCUGAGGCGCGAAAGCUAGGGGAGCAAACGGG
rnacentral:rRNA from 1 species